AUUGAACGCUGGCGGCAUGCCUUACACAUGCAAGUCGAACGGCAGCGGGCCUUCGGGUGCCGGCGAGUGGCGAACGGGUGAGUAAUGCAUCGGAACGUGCCAUUGAGUGGGGGGAUAACGUAGCGAAAGUUACGCUAAUACCGCAUAUUCUGUGAGCAGGAAAGCAGGGGACCGCAAGGCCUUGCGCUCUUUGAGCGGCCGAUGUCAGAUUAGCUAGUUGGUGAGGUAAAGGCUUACCAAGGCGACGAUCUGUAGCGGGUCUGAGAGGAUGAUCCGCCACACUGGAACUGAGACACGGCCCAGACUCCUACGGGAGGCAGCAGUGGGGAAUUUUGGACAAUGGGCGCAAGCCUGAUCCAGCCAUGCCGCGUGAGUGAAGAAGGCC
rnacentral:rRNA from 1 species